rnacentral:rRNA from 1 species
GAUGAACGCUGGCGGCGUGCUUAACACAUGCAAGUCGAACGAUGAAGCCCAGCUUGCUGGAGUGGAUCAGUGGCGAACGGGUGAGUAACACGUGAGCAACCUGCCCCUGACUCUGGAAUAAGCGCUGGAAACGGCGUCUAAUACUGGAUACGAGAAGGGUCCGCAUGGGCACUUUCUGGAAAGUUUUUCGGUUGGGGAUGGGCUCGCGGCCUAUCAGCUUGUUGGUGAGGUAAUGGCUCACCAAGGCGACGACGGGUAGCCGGCCUGAGAGGGCGACCGGCCACACUGGGACUGAGACACGGCCCAGACUCCUACGGGAGGCAGCAGUGGGGAAUAUUGCACAAUGGGCGAAAGCCUGAUGCAGCGACGCCGCGUGAGGGAUGACGGCCUUCGGGUUGUAAACCUCUUUCAGCAGGGAAGAAGCGAAAGUGACGGUACCUGCAGAAGAAGCACCGGCUAACUACGUG